rnacentral:rRNA from 1 species
UACGUAGGCAGCGAGCGUUGUUCGGAGUUACUGGGCGUAAAGGGUGCGUAGGUGGCUUGGUAAGUUUGAUGUGAAAUCUCCGGGCUUAACCCGGAAAUGGCAUUGAAUACUAUUGAGCUGGAGGUUUGGAGGGGGGGACUGGAAUUCUCGGUGUAGCAGUGAAAUGCGUAGAUAUCGAGAGGAACACCAGUGGCGAAGGCGAGUCCCUGGACAACACCUGACACUGAGGCACGAAAGCUAGGGGAGCAAACAGG